rnacentral:rRNA from 1 species
UACGUAGGGUGCGAGCGUUGUCCGGAAUUAUUGGGCGUAAAGGGCUCGUAGGCGGUUUGUCGCGUCGGGAGUGAAAUCCACUGGCUUAACUGGUGGCUUGCUUUCGAUACGGGCAGACUGGAGGUAUGCAGGGGAGAACGGAAUUCCUGGUGUAGCGGUGAAAUGCGCAGAUAUCAGGAGGAACACCGGUGGCGAAGGCGGCUUUCUGGACAGUAACCGACGCUGAGGCACGAAAGCUAGGGGAGCAAACAGG